UACGUAGGUGGCAAGCGUUGUCCGGAUUUACUGGGCGUAAAGAGCGCGCAGGCGGUCGUUCAAGUCGCGUGUGAAAGCCCCCGGCUCAACUGGGGAGGGUCACGCGAUACUGAUCGACUGGAAGGCAGGAGAGGGUAGUGGAAUUCCCGGUGUAGUGGUGAAAUGCGUAGAUAUCCGGAGGAACACCAGUGGCGAAGGCGACUACCUGGCCUGUUCUUGACGCUGAGGCGCGAAAGCUAGGGGAGCAAACGGG
rnacentral:rRNA from 1 species